rnacentral:snoRNA from 1 species
AGGACUAUACUUUCAGGGAUCAUUUCUAUAGUACGUUACUAGAAAAGAUUCUCUGAACGUGUAGAGCACCCGAAACCACGAGGAGGAAGUGCAGCGUUCCCUUCUUGAGGG